rnacentral:rRNA from 1 species
CUUGGUCAUUUAGAGGAAGUAAAAGUCGUAACAAGGUUUCCGUAGGUGAACCUGCGGAAGGAUCAUUACUGAAAGGGGACUCCGGUCCCCGGGACAAGCCCCCGUCGAGCCCUUGGGCUCCCCGGGUGGUGACACCCCUAACCCUUUGUUUACCUUACCUCUGUUGCCUUGGCAAGGCCCCUGCCCGGGUGGUUCCAGGCUUGGGCUCUGCCAGAGGGCCCUAACUCGUGGAUAGUUUCUGUUUGUCUGAGUACGAUAUAAUCGUUUACAACUUUUAACAAUGGAUCUCUUGGCUCUGGCAUCGAUGAAGAACGCAGCGAAACGCGAUAUGUAAUGUGAAUUGCAGACUUUAGUGAAUCAUCGAAUCUUUGAACGCACAUUGCGCCCCGUGGUAUUCCGCGGGGCAUGCCUGUUCGAGCGUCAUUUCAACCAAUCAAGCCUCGGCUUGGUCUUGGGGUUUGCGGUCCCGCAUCUCCUAAACUUAGUGGCGGUGCGAUUAAGCUCUGAGCGUAGUAAUUCUUCUCGCUAUAGGGUCUUGGUCGUUACUUGCCAGUAACCCCCAAUUUUUAUCAGGUUGACCUCGGAUCAGGUAGGGAUACCCGCUGAACUUAAGCAUAUCAAUAAGCGGAGGA